UACGUAGGGUGCGAGCGUUGUCCGGAAUUAUUGGGCGUAAAGAGCUCGUAGGCGGUUUGUCGCGUCGACUGUGAAAACCUGGGGCUUAACUCUGGGCCUGCAGUCGAUACGGGCAGACUUGAGUUCGGUAGGGGAGACUGGAAUUCCUGGUGUAGCGGUGAAAUGCGUAGAUAUCCGGAGGAACACCGGUGGCGAAGGCGGCUUCCUGGACCGACACUGACGCUGAGGCGCGAAAGCUAGGGGAGCAAACGGG
rnacentral:rRNA from 1 species